rnacentral:rRNA from 1 species
UACGUAGGUGGCAAGCGUUAUCCGGAUUUAUUGGGCGUAAAGGGAACGCAGGCGGUCUUUUAAGUUUGAUGUGAAAGCCUUCGGCUUAACCGGAGUAGUGCAUUGGAAACUGGGAGGCUUGAGUGCAGAAGAGGAGAGUGGAACUCCAUGUGUAGCGGUGAAAUGCGUAGAUAUAUGGAAGAGCACCAGUGGCGAAAGCGGCUCUCUGGUCUGUAACUGACGCUGAGGUUCGAAAGCGUGGGUAGCAAACAGG